AUUGGCCUGGGAGGUCAAAGCAGACCUAGGAGACAGGACAGAGCAUAAGGAAGCCAGCCAGAGGCUCAGAGAGCUCCUGAAACUGAAUCUUUCAGAUACUCCUGGUCUUUCUUCUUGAUGCCCCACCUCCCCGCAGAGAAACUCCUCAACUCUUCUGAGCCCAAGAUCGUGCCCUUUAUUUUCGACCAACCCAUAACAUGAGAUGAUGGCUAUACGGCUAAAGGAUGUGCAUGGAACUACAGGGCACAGCACAAAGAAUUCCUUUUCCCAUUGGGAAAGUAAAUGGAAAAUAAUCGUAACGGAGGAGCAGGGUAGAGGAGCCGCGGGGAGGGACUGAAGACAAUCUCUCUGCACAAAUGUGACCCAGAGUCCCGGUGGGCAGGAGACUCUCGGCAGGGACAUGCGAAACCAUCAAAUAAAAUUGGAAGGAAUCGGAGCACGCGCCAGAUCUAGAACAGGGUGUCUGUGACCAAAGACGGUCAAGACGGAAGAAGCGAGCCCCAGACAGAAAACAGAAGGCUGGUUCCGUAAACCUUUUUUGAGGCGAAGCUACCUAGAGCAAGGUAGAGGGGAGAGGACAGGGAACAUUUUUUGCACGGCAGCUACCAAAACAAAUUUCAUUUCAUAUGUAUCUUCGGAGGGGAAGAAAGACUGCAGGACUUUUCAGAGGCUUUACUAUGCUUUGUGACACCCUAAGGUGCACGUAAGGGAGGGUGUGGAUUGAACAGACACCGCUUCUCACAUGCGUCUGUCUGUUUGGUGCCGUGGCGGAGACAUGCUGCACAUUUUAGGGCAUACUCUUUUAUUAAAUACCUGUGGCCUCUUGCAAGAGCAGGAAAGUUAAGCCAAGCAUGGUUGCCAGCAGUUGAGCAAUAAGCAAACAUUUUUUUCUCAAACACCUGCGUGUUAACCAGCAGUGACCCCACGAUCUCAACGUUUGGGUCCAACGGUGGGAAAGAUACAAAACCAGAAUCAGAGAAGUCACCAGAUCAUCACCUUUUCCAACCAUCCCCGGAAAUUCCCCCCCAAACUCCUAAAGCUCCGCCAAUUACAAUCCUUCUCUCCAGAAUUCCCUUUCCUCCCCCUGUGGAUGCUCAUUUUCUUAUCCACAGAGAAGGAAUCAGAGAGUUCAUCCCCACGGGAUUUUCUCCUGGAAUUUUUCCCAGUAACAUAGGGCGAAGGCAGUAAAGGGAGCUCCGUUGAGAGAGGCACGACAUACUUGUUAAGUGCUU